GAAAUCAGACAUGGUUAUUACAAGGAGGUAACAUAGAGCCACCCUUUUUGUUGGUCACACUGAAUAUUUAAUACAUCAUAUUUUCACAAUCAUGUUCAUAUUCAGGUGUACAUCAAACAUAAACUGAACCAAAAAAAAAAGAAGGUAAAGAAAAUACAACCAGAGAAGGACUACCUAUAUUUCCAUGAUCAUGGAUGUGUCAAAAGGACUCUCAUUUCCUGACUGUAACUAAAAGCUCUUUCUCCUUUCUCCAUCCUCAUGCCAAUAGAUGGUCACUUUCUAAUCUUGUGAAUUUCAUGUGGCAAAAUCAUGGGAAGAAAACUAAUAUACUGCCCCCAUUAUAUUAAGUUAGAUCAAAUGGAUAUAGUACACCCUAAUUCCUUAGCAGCCAUAUCAAGAAACUGUGUACACAUUCCAUUUUCAAUUCGGCUGUUAGCUUCCCAAGUCAAACACUUCUCAAUAUCCCUUUGCCAGUUAAUAGUGCCAAUGUUUAAGUACUUAUAAGCAGGACCAUGGAUACCAUUUACAUCAGCUCGAUUAGCUCUAGUUUUUAUUGAACCAGUCUGCAUAAUGGCACGGAGAAGUGAUAUGCUGAGAGCACGUACCAGAGCACUUGGAUGAGAAAUACAACGAACUGUGGCCGGUAAGCGGCACUUCAACAAGUUUGACAGACCAUCAACGAUUACUGAUCCAGAUUCUCCCCACUCAAGCACUGGUUGUACAGCUCUAGCUGUCACUUCCAGGAGCUCCAGCUGUGGUAAGGUGCAUGCUUCU
rnacentral:misc_RNA from 1 species